CCCAAGGUCUGCCUCCAUGGUAAGUACUCUGGUAAUUUGGGUAGUGUUGACAGAAGCACUGAGUAUUACCCAAAGCACUCAGUGAUUUCUUUUUAAUGCUGGCUCCAACAGAAAAGUGGUAAGAAGUUCACCCCUCCUACAUGACGUUGUUAUGCUGCUAAUGCUCCACAGAAAUCCACCUUCGUGUCCCACAUCUGUCAUUCAGCCUGGGCUGCCCUAUUGCUUCUCUUCCAGCCCUGAGGACGUGAUGGGAACAACCAACUUUCCGGACAGGGUCAUGUAGCUGCCAGCCUGAGUGAACUGUGAUGAACUGUGCUCUGUUUCUUCAGCAACCACAGUUUCAGGAGCCUGGGAAUGGACCAAAAUCAUGCCCCUAAUUCUUGGGUCAGCUCCACCUUUACAUCUUUUAGGAAGAUGGAACACACUACUCUAACUCUGCAGGUGGAACUACAGAGACCAGGAAGAAGGAUGUGGCUUCUCCAGUCUCACAAUGACUUGCUUGUCAAGUAUGAAACACCUGAGUGGAAAUGCACAAACACAAAAGCCUGUUCACAAAUGGGAAUAAAAUAUGAAAAGAAUCAGCAAACCUUUCUGUUCCUACAACAGAAGGGUUACCUGUUGUGAGGGCGAGAUAUCAAACGUUGUGUAACACCUGCCAUGUCCCUGACAGCCAGCAUCACAUAUCCCACCAGUUCCCCCUAGGGACACUGGAGGGGCUGUCAGCAGGAGCUGGAAUCGAGGCUGCUUGUCAAGAAAUGGUUUUAUUUGAUAAACUCGUUGGCAUUUGGAUUCCUGCUGAUGGCAGAGCUGAGGGACGAGCACAUCAGCAGCGUAACUGUUUCUAAGCUGACUGCCAAAUGGUUUCCCCGUUUCGCAUUUACACUGUGCCAAGUGAGCUUACAAGCCCUUCCUUUGCUCUCCUAUUGCUGGACCAUGAAAAAAAGAGGCAGCUGUCCCCAGCCUCUUUGUCAGCUCGCCUUCUCUCCCACUGUUUACCUUACUUCUUUACCUUGCAAACAGCUCACCUCUCAGAGCCCGAGCUAAGCCCAGCCCUUUUGUGCCCCGCAGUCAUCGCUCCAUCUUUAGGGGAAAGCUGAUUCCCAGGAAUGCUGUGCAUGCACAUACCUAUCUGGGCGCUGCACCCACACCUGCCCACCCGCUAACCCAGCGCCCGCUGGCCCUCGCAGCCGCAUUCCAGCCAGCAGAGCUAUUGCUCGCUAAUUGUUACCUGUCAAACAGGUAAAUGAGGCUCUUGGGCCAAGUCCAAACAAGCACAUAUUCCCACCAAAUCCUAAACUUGCAAACCUUUAACCUUUUUGCAGCCCCACUGAUGGUUUUCACUGAGACUGAUUGGAAAGUAUGACGGUAUCUUCCACGGAUGGAAAAAAAGCGCAGCGUUUGGCUGUUUGUUGUGACAAAGCUCUCCUACACGUCAAUACCUGCAGCGGAGCACAGCAGGCACCCAAUGCAAGAGACGUGUGCGAUGGCUCCCACACCACAUGAGCGGCCUUCCAAGAUCACAGAAUGCUGUGCCAAUCCCAAAACGGCGUCUGGACGGUGAAGGGAUUCAUGUGUACAGAGUCUGGGGGGCUGGAAAAGUCAUUGUGCACGCAGCCUGGAGCCACGUGGGAGGGCUGUGAACUGGCAUUUCCUGCUCCAUGCACCCAGUUCAGACUUGCUCUGCUGAGUGCAGCAGGAGGGUCUGCGCUCCCGGGCGCAGGCAGCGGCCUGUUACGGUCCCACAGUGUGCGAAGACGGCUGGUGUUAGCUUCCUGCACAGGCCACAGAGGGAAAAUGGCGCCGACCAAGCUGCUCCCAGCUAAAGCUCGGUCCCCAUGGCUAGCUCUGCAGAAAAGACAUUGCCCCGCAGAAGCACUCACAAGGCAGCCUGCUCUUGUGGUAAUACAUUUCACAUUCUUCCACGUCAGAAUGCACUGAAAGAAAAAGUGGGUUCUGUCGAAACCCCACAGCUACAAAUCCCAUUAAAAACAGCACAGGUGUCACUGCUUUUCCGUGCCGCCCUCUUGCAGGCUCCUGGCUCGGACUGCAGGCUCUCUGCGGCCGGGGCCGUGCUACCACACAUCCCCACAUGCGUGACACCAUCUGACAGCACUUCUGAGCCCAGCCUCAGCCUCACCUGCGUGCUGCAUUGAGUCCCUCAGUUGUCAGGGCCUACCCGACAAACAAAGAGGGGAGAGUAAAUGGUAGAAACCAGUUGUUACUGGUAAUAACAGAAACACGAUCUCCCCACCAAGAUGGUAAUCUUUCCCCACAAAGGCUGCAGAUACCUCCAUGGUACACCCGAUUCUGACCUGCCUCUCACCUCAGCUUUAUCCCAGUCAUACCAGAAUGCUUGGAUCUCCCAGGCAUUGCCUUAGACUGCAGGUGAAUUCUAUGUUGGAAGUAACCUGGCAAAAGCAGUCAUUAGACCACUGGAAAAGCAAAUGGGUUUUUAGGCUUUAUUUGAAGGAGCACUUAAAUAUAUGUAUUUCAACUUAACAGUAGCUCUAGAAUGAGGUUUAGCACUGCUUUUUUGGAACAGUCUAAUGCUUUAAACUGAUUUUUACUUUUUCUUAGCUGAUAUGAGAACAGCUGUACUUGCACAGCUUCAGCUCAGCCCAGCACCUUCCCUAAAUGGCACGAGAUUUGCUCAGAAGAGAUCCUGAGAGUUACAGCUGUGGUAGCAGGUUUUGAGGGGCUGAGCUGAGCUCUGGGCUCCCACAGACCCAGUAUGUCAUGCAGAGAUUCCUAUAGAAAUCAGGAAUUCCUCUGCAGUUUCUUCUCUACGGUCCUCUCCUUCUUCUUGAUUUGCGACUCCUCCCUCUUUUCAACUCACAGAGGGAUUAAGCAGCUGUCUGAUCUGCUGCUCGCUCCUUGCCACACUCUGGCACAGAGUGCCUUCCAGCCUGUCACUGGGUUCCUACGCUGCAUGGGUUGCUGCACUCUGUAUCUUCACACUACUAUUGUCCAGCAGUACCAGAAACCAUUACUAAUGGUUCCCACAGGUAUUUUGCUUAAGAUAAAAGGGAAGACACCUUGAAAGAUACAAAGCACUUCUGCUUAAAAAACACUGCGAAAGCUGACAGCUGUAUUAUUACUAAUACCCACCGAGAACCAGUUAGAAAUACCUUGGCCGAAAAAUAUUAUUCCUGUGUAUCUCAUUCCAGUUCUGACAAACAUACUGAACGGUGAGCAUCAUUUCAGGAAUCUGUUGCUCCACAAAAGCUAUUAAGACUCCUGGAGCAGCUGGGUUCUUUGGGCUGCCCAGCCAGCUGGGCAGCUUAUCUACAGCAGAGGUGGUUGUAUGGGGCUGUUAUCUCUUUUUUCUACAGGAUUUUGUGAGGGGGCAAAAUAGCUUGAAGUCUGAGGUUUCUUUCAGAUCUGUAGAAGAACUUCUAUGCCUAAAAGUCUGUUCACUUUUCCCUACCCUCUUCCCAGAUCAUCACUUCUACAACAUAGCUGCUAUAUGAAGGAUGGUCCUCUCUGUUUGUUAGCUCUCACUGUGGAUGACUGUGAGGGUCGGCCUCUUCUCCCAUGUAAUAGUGACAGGACAAGAGGUAAUGGCCUUAAGUUGUACUGGGGGGUGGGGAAUUGGAUCUAAAGACAAAUUUCAUCUCAGGAGUUGUGAGGCAUUGGCACAGGCUGCCCAGGGAGGUGGUGGAGUCACUGUCCCUGAAAGUGUUGAAGAAUUGUGGAGAUGUGGCACUGAAGGACAUGGUCAGUGGGCAUGGUGGGGAUGGGCUGGCAGUUGGACUGGAUGAUCUCAGUGGUCUCUUCCAACCUAAAUGAUUCUAUGAUUUAGCUAUUUCUCAGCAGCUGGAGAAGAGAGUUAGCUGUCUGGAGGGCUGGUCAACAGGAGGGUUAAGGAAACCAGGCUACAAGCACCCAUCUGCUGGUUGCCAGAAGAGAUGACUUAGGCCACCAGCCCACGCACUGCAGGUCACUGCCUACCAGCAUGGGUUCCUCACAUUACCCACUUCUGACUCCAGCUUGUGCAAAACCGCAUUACUCAGAGCUGGUUAACACAGGAAAGAAGCUUUUUAGCUCCUCCAAAGCUCACAAGUGAACCUCCCUGCUAUUGCUCCUUAGUGUCUUUGUGAAGUGUAAUACUGGUUAAUUUAAUUGUGAGGGUGUGUAACAGUUUAAAGCUGUGUUUACAGCUGUUUCAGAUCUGAAAAAGCAAAUGUGAGGACAAGAAAACAUGUAACUCCGGAGAGUUCCAAAACCAGCAUUCCCAAAUGAAAGUAUAAAUGAAGGAUUCUCACCAGCGGGAAGUAAUUGAGCAAAAUAGAUGCACCCCUCAUUAAACAAAGCCCUGAUUAGUUCAGCGGUGCCAGUGAUGCAACUGAUUCGUACCAUUUUGCAAAUCUCUUUUUCCACAGGCCGAGCCCUUGGGUUCACAUAACACCAGUGUGUUAUUUGAAAAACUCGGAUUCUUCAGUUGUCCACCAGGGAACAGCUUGAGAGGGAAAUACUGGGAUGCUGACAGACGGAUUGUAUGUUUUUUAAAUGUCACGAUUCUAAAGCACCGUGCAAGGAAGGGGCUGCGACUGCCUGUGUGCACUCACUGCAGAGUCCACAGCAGGGUUUGAGGCUCGGGGUCUCCAGAAUGUGUUCUGUCCUCUGCUGCAAACACGACAUGAAAGAGGUAAAAAGUCACAUAACAAGACUUGUGCAUUUGUUAAAAGGGGGGGGGGGGGGGGGGGGGGGGGGGAAGCUCAGGCCUCAAAUGCCUUUAUGUUUGCUGUGGCCCAAGACACAGCAAGCAUUUCUGACAUUGCUUCUGUGCAUGAUGGGAGAACUCGUUACACUGCUAAUACUACGUUAUCUUCCUACCAUCACACUGCCUGCUGCCCACAGCAGUUUCUUUAUUGCUGGUAUCAAGGGCAAGGACUGACUGCAUGGGCAGAGGUGCCUGUGCUCGGGAUGAGACAGCUCCUAGCCGCUAAUUAGCCGCUAAUCCCGUGCACCGAGGUUCCCACAGACCGUGAGGGCUUCCUUUGGUGACUUUUCAAUUAGCAUCAUAACACCCCGAGCUUUGAAUGCUUUGUAUAUAUUUAUCUUUGCUCCCAAUUGUCAGGGCCAGCCAACGGGAAUUAAACCAAUUUAAGAGCAUCUGUGUGUCUAUUAUUUGGCAGCUAUUAGCCGAAAUUGACAUAAUCCUCCUCCCUGCUGAGAGAUAGAUAAUUUAUAUCAACUUCGGUGUGACUUGCUAGGAUUCUUCCACAGUACAGGCGAGAAAUCGUGCAGAUACCGGUAGGAAAGUGGAAUUCUAGCACGUACAGGAGAGAAGCGCCCUUAUGGCACCGCUAGCGGCAGCAAGCAGGGCUGGCCGAGGCAGGCAAGCGUUGCUACUGGCUACUGCCCCAUCGCUGCUGGAAUGUUAACGACCGCUUUGUCAUACCGAGGGCACCUAACAGCCAUCCCGCCCAGCUCAAUAGGCACCGCCGCCCAACUCCUCUUAACGCAGCCGAGGGCUGCGGCCGGUGCAAUUCCCAGCAUUAAUGGACACUCUCUGAGCAGAGGCACUUCAAAGCACCCUCCCCAGGCUCAAAAGGCUCUCCCCAUCUCGGUACGAUGGGCUGUUUACACUGAGGUAAUUGCCGUGUGUAUAAUUGGCCUUGCUUACAGAGAAGAUGCUCAGAUAUCCUUGGUCACCCUUCCCCUCUCCCAGCCUCGUUGGAAGCUCUGGAACUCAAAGAAACAACGGAGGGGAAAUCCUGCCUCCCUGCCCUCAUCUUGCCAGGCUGGGUUCAGAGGGCCAAAGCAUCUGCUUUAACCCCAGGCACAGCCGACAGAACUUGAGCCAGCCCUGCAACCACUUCCAAAGCACAGAACAGUGAUGCAGUGCAAAGGGCAACUCAAAACGACCGACGUCUUCAUAGUACUGUCUGUAAAAACCAGCCACGUCUUUUAUGCACGCAUCUCUUGAGGGAAAGAUGGCCAUUUAACCUGCAGUGUAGAAAAUACCUUCUUGAUUGGAUAGCUGCUCUCAUUCAUAGACUUCCACGCACUCGGUGGCUUCACUGGGACUAUGGCGAUGCAUGCCGUGCACCUGCAGAAACUCACUGCUACUCCAGCCAGUGGAGGAGGCUGAUAGGCUCAAAGCAGCAGCUGCUGCCAGAGCUGUGGGUGAUGCUAUGUCUCUGCGGUGCCAAGAGACAUCACAUGAGGCAGCCACGUGUCAGACUCCAGGAGAAGAACUGGGCUGGGCGAAUGCUGUAAUUAAUUCCCCAUGCUUACACCUGGAAGGCUUUCAUUCAUCCCAAACAGAAAAGACUGCUUUUCGUGCACUUUCACAAUUACUAAAACUCAAAGCUAAAACCGAGUUACUGCCAAAAGAGGUGGGUCUGCCCUACAACUCCUGUCCCCUUGCUUUUGUUGUCUCCAUCACUCCCACAGUUUGGGAAUGGAGUUUUACAGGGUCAAACCAGCCUACUUACUUGCCUGAAAACUGACCCUAUUGAAAGCAAAAACAAAACAGUUCUCUGGAGGUUGAAAGAGCAAGUCUGCUGAUGUGACAGAAGAGGGAAGAAAUGCAUGAUUUAGGGUAAGGAGAAAGCUCCUUUGGGCAGGCACAUAUUCUUCCACUGAGCUAAGUCAACCAGUGGCAACUGGAAUGCUUUCAACCUGUUAGACCUCCCAGAAAAACCCCUCAACUUCACUGUAAGAAGGGGGGCUGAAGCAUGUUGUUACCAAGAUGUUCUCAUCCCUUACCUUACAAACAAGGCUGCAGGACAGCCAGGGUGACAGGACCUUCUGACAUUCUCCUGUGUGCUGCUUUUUCCCAAGUUGCUGCAUGCUCACUACUGUGACCUUGGGGCUAUCAGGGAAAUCCCCAUUACUUCCUGCUCCACUGUGCUGUGGUGCCAAGCUCGGUGCCCACUGCCUACACUUCACACAGGAGAGAAAUAAUGAUGAGAAAGUACAACCUUGGUGGAGAUUGACUCUGUUCUGCCCGGGGUAAGAUCUUUCCUGGAAGCCAACUACAACACUGCAUCAUCAGUUGUCCCAUGUGAAUACUGGUGUCAGCUCAGAGUUAUCCGUACAGCAUUUAAACUCAACCUGUGUAGCACAGGGGCUAAACCAAUUGGCUCUGAUAAGACAAGAUGAAGGCAUUUGCAUUUAAAAUCCUACAUUUCACAUGUGGGUUGUCUAUUUAGUGAGCACUGUUCAUUCUGAACUCUUUCCCUUUGCACUCCAUCUUCAUCUUUGCUAUUGAUUUAAGCUAAAAGGGCAAGGCCAGGCUGAGAAAGGCACCACACACUCUCUCAGGCACUGUCUGGGAGUCCACAGGAGGCUGAGGCAGUGCUUUCAGCGAGCAGUCAGUAAGGGCUAAGAAUCUCCAAGGCACUCAAUGCUCUGGCGCUACUUUGUCAAAACAUGUAGGCUCUGCCUGUACAGUUUAAAAAUAAAUGCAUUCUAAACUGGGGAACUUGCUGGUUUCAGUGGGAAUGCAGGCAUACUUUCCAGGAGUUGGGCUGAAGCAUUUAGCAAACUACCUGUCUGCUUCUGGCACCAGCCUGAGAGAUGGGCAUGGGGUUAAUAAAUUCCUGGCUCUGCAGAUUCCCCACAAAACCUUUGGCAAGUGUGUUGCUCAAAAACCUCACAUACAAAAUGGAGAGGUGCUGCACCUACCUCCUCAUGUCUGCCUUGUGCUCCUCCUUCAAGAGCUCCACAGGUCAGGAAUUGUCCUGGACAGCUGGGAUCUGGGUCAAAACUUGAGCAACUUCACCAAAGCUUGAGCAACUUCAUCCUGAUACCAACCUGUGUCUCUGCCCCAGGGCACAGAGCCUGCAGGCUGUCAGUCUGGCCUCCCUCUCAUACAGGUUUACUGGAAUGACACAGCCAAAGCGUAUGAGUUUUGCCUUCCUCUCCAGGCAGCUUAACUGUGGUAUUAAUUAGGAGUGAUUUAUACCCCCAGCAAUGGUAAGGCAGGGCUCGUCUUCCCUGGAGAAGUCCUAGUAAUCAGAGCGAAGUUUAUAGCGAAAUAAAGAGCAACACACAUAUCUCACCCCCACCCUACCCUCCAGGGCAAUUGCUCAUGUGUGGGAGCUCAAGAAAAAAGCAGUACAGAAAUGUAAAUGUAAAUCUGCCUGCUUUGCCCCUCACACCCAAGCACACCAUAUAAACAAACAGCCAUCGCCAGGUACUGUUUUCUAGUCAAAUAGAGAGAAACAAGUACUCAGCAUCUCUGUGGCUGGAGCCACACAAAACUUCUUCAUGCGGGAUACUUUCACCUUGCUUAGGAAGAAGCUAAGAUUUCCAUCCACUUGGAAAAAAGGUGAAGAAAAAGAAUGUAAGGAAAAAACACAGCUGUUGUAAAUCCUAUUUAAGAAGGGACUCAGAGAAACAAAGGUAAGGUUAAAAAGCAGCAUAUGCCACAGUCACGGGACACAGGCAAAGGAGACAGAAGAAGCUCCUAACUCCAAUCUGUUAAAACACAAUAUGAAGAUCAAUACUGGAUUGGGCAGCGUAAUAAUGCACACAGGUAACAGUGAUAGUGUGAAAGCAAAAUGAGGUACAAAAGAACUUGGGACCUGUAUGCUCUGUGAGCCCGAUUCCCGGUCUGUCUCUCCCAGCACAACGGCACAGGACAGGACAGAGCAGUCAGCACACCUCCCUGCCUGGCAGGGCAGUUCCACCAGCAGAAAUCUACUUUCACAGCAGAGACUUAGCAGUGAUAAAGCAGGCUUGUAGGUGCAUGCAGGGCGUGUGCGCUGUACAAACAUGGUAUUGCUGAGAUGCUGCGCCUGAUAGUGCAGGCUGAUGGAGUGACUGCAGGGGAUCUACAACUGGGGUCUUCCCCACGCCAUAGCCUGAGAGAUCCUGAAGCUCCAAACCCAGAUAGCAGAGAAGGCCAAAGAUUAUGUUGGCAAGCUCUGAGCCUACACUGCCCUGAAGCCUGACGGAGUAACACUACGUACUCACAACACCGCCUCUAUAUUUAUGAACAAGAUCAGUGGGAGUGCUUUCUUCUGAAAAACUGCUCCAUUUCAAAAGAGAACAACAGCAAAUAGCAGAAAGACCUAUGCCUGUCUGUAAAGGUGCUUCAGCAGCAACAGAGAUAGUGGCCUAGUGACCCUUCCAUAGAACAAGGCACAGCAGAGAUCUCUUGGCUCCAGCAGGGGUUUCUUUUCUGCCACCAGCCCAUUCCCUUUGUCUUCUGCCACAACUGAGCAGCACCCUCCGGGCAAUCAGCUCCCCCUCUUCUCAACAAGCCUGGAAAGCUGUCUCUUCCAUUCCCUGUGAUUCCUUAAGCACCUGACUACUUGAUUAAGGCAUCAACUUAUUUUGAGGAAGAAACAGGUUGCUUCUAAGCAAAUCCACAGCUUUGUUUCCCAGCUCCUAUUUCCCCAUUCGGAAGUGUUUCUGUGGAAUCUCUGAGCUGAAUUUACUCCAGUUCCCAAGUGUGGGAAAAGUAAACAAGCAAUUGUUUAUAUGCCAUCCUUCACCUUCUGCGCACUGGAACACCAGGGCCUAUUUUAGGACAGUACCGUUACAGCAAGAAGAGAUGCACUCUUCAUUGGCUUUCGACUGCUCUUAUUGCAGGGUGGGGUGACAGACCUGUGGAGCUUCUGUGUUUUUUAAAAACACCCAACUGAUGCAGAGACAUACGAAGCUCUCGGGGAUGUGAUCAACGUGUGAAAACCUAUUUCAGAUUCCUUUCAAAUGAUGCUCUGCAAAUCAUAAUGAUUCAAGAACGGACCGAUGAGGGCUGGGAGCAGAAGCCCCAGCAGCCAAUGCAGAGUGCCAUUCCUGCUCCCCUGUGAGAGCCCUUCAGCUAGGAGCAGCCAUCCAUCCAAUUGUUUGUUCAACUGGGUCACUGAAAAACAGAAAAAGAAGCUUUUAAUUAUGAAAAGGAAGACGGUUUUCAAAGUACUACUGCUGACAACCAACCAAAAAACAAAACCAACCCCACAACAGACAGCCAUUAGGACAGUUUUCUUCCGACAUUCCUCAGGAGCUCUUCACAAUGUAGACAAACUACAAGCAUUUCAGCUUUCUCCCCAAACAACUCAGUCAGGAUUACUCAAGAUGUGUCUGUGAAGCCGCAGAUUUGUUCUGUGAUGAUGCAGAGGUCCUGCUGAGUACCACAAGAAGUCAGACAAAGCAUCCUAACGAUGCACUGGAUAUUCUUCUCAGAGGUCAGGUUAUUUAGGUCCCACUCCUCUACCCCACCAUGACACAGUAUCAGUUUCAGCUUAAUUAAGGUAUUUCCGAGUCCCAGGUCCCACAGCACAUCAAGCUGUCUUCCAGAGAUGUUUUCUUAUUCUUCUUCAGGCAGAGUUUUUCCUGCCAUUAGGUGACCUAACCAUGGUUUCCCCUUGUCCCAAAACACUUGGCUGAAUCACUGGAAAAUGCUAUCAGAGAUCAAAGCAUCUGCAGAAAAGUUAUCCCUGUGUAUUACAUUCUGUUGAAUUGGUUUCAAAGCAAUGAGUAAUCUUUAUGAAAUGGAUGGGUACUACUAAUCAAGAAGCUAAUAUUCCAAUCUACUGUCAGACUUAGGUGCUUCCUCAGACGUCUCCAUGUCCCAGCCCAGAGAGGACUGCCACACUCUGACCCAUUUUCACCACUAAAAAUGAUUUCUGUUCUAAGCUGAAACAGGGUUCUGCGUGCCAUACUGCCUAAGACAAGUGUUGCAGAUAUGUUUACAUUGUAACGCUGACAUCUUUCAGAAUCAUGAACUCUAUGCUCAUAAUGAGCAAACAAAGCUCCUCCUUUUCUUCUUACAUGGUUCCACGUUGCUCUGAGGACUCUAUAAGACAUGCAGAUCAGCAUUUCAGAUAAAGGUGGCACAUGCAGCCCCAUGCCCUGCCCUGGGGCUGGGAAGCACUCCAUCACAGAAUCACAGAAUGGCCUGGGUUGAAAAGGACCUCAAAGAUCAGCUAGUUUCCUGCCACGGCAAGGUCGCCAACCACUAGACCAGGCUGCCCAGAGCCUCAUAUUCCAUGGUCCUCUGUGCUGUUCAACUGCUGUUGCCACGCAUGAUGUGGAGGCAUCGGAGAGCUCCAGGUUCUUACUGAGAUCCCAGCUGCGCUAUCUGGGAAGCGCAACUGGCAGGUUCCAGGCAGCAGAUACUUGUCACUAGUCACAGCAUUCUGAUAGCACUUUCGUAUUGUUUCAUUGUGAAACAAUACAAGUAACCCGUUGUUACAAUCUUGGUUACUUAGGAUUACUUCUGUUACAUUAAAUGUUAAUAGUGUAGCAUAAUCUAUUAUUAGAACACACAAAAGAUCCAUUUGGAGUAUAGGAAAGCUGCACUAAGAUCUAUUUAUUUUGAUGUACGUGACGGCGUUGUUGAAGUCAGUUGAAGAUCAAGGUCUGUACAAAUUCCAGUAAAUAUAGUUUCAUAUAGAAGAUAACUACAAAGGGAAGGCUACGGGGAGGAUUAACAGUAAAUGCAUCACAAAAUUAGUAGGUAGGUGGUUGGCUUUGAACUUACUGCAAGAGAGCAUUUUAUAUCAACAGCCAUCAAUGACACAGAAACACACAAAUAAAAAUACGUGGUAAUCACUGCCUACUGCAAACACUUGUUUCCAAACAUCUGUGCUCUCACUGAGCUGCCUCACAACGCUGUUUUGACAUAAAUACCUCUCUAACAUCUUUUAUCGCACAGACUUCUUUUAAUAGUUUUCUGAAUGAUAUUUUAGGUACUUACUGCAAUUAGUAAGCUGAGCUGAACCUUGUUUGUGCACCCUACUUCCUCUGCCCAGUGCUGGCAAGUCCAAACAGCGCUGAUGCUGGCUGCUAUGGAACACAUCAUGUAAACACGAGGUAAAGCGUUAGACAGUUGAAUUCUACACCGACUCCUCACAACAAGAAGCAAGAAAAAGAAACACCCUACCAGGCUGAGAAGCUGGUUUGCAAAGAAGCAAACAGCACGAAAGUGAUCUGCUAUUGUAGAUUGUUCCUGUAAGCUCCAAAGACAACUCCUAGAUUUAUAAUAAUGUAUUGCAUGACCAUUUUAUUUUUGCCCUACACAGCCUUUAUUCAAUGAGAAGCAAGACUGGUCUGGCCUGAAAUAACAUUAGAUGAUUUUUUCAGUGACUAACAGAUUAGUUUAUAACAAUCCUGGAGCUCAUGAAGAAUGAGCAGCGGGCUGGAUGAGGCAGGACCUGUUUGACCUGCUAGGCUGGACGCUCACAAUUGAAUUCCAGUUUGCAGUCUGGAACAAAAUGCUCAUCCAGAAAACGAUGAGCCCAAUCCCUACUAUCUGCUUAAAAUAAUUUUCAGGGUAUAUUUGUUCACCUAAGCAAUAAGCUGUCAUCUUCAACAAACUCAAAUCAAGAGUUCAUUACUGCAUUUCUCACUUCUGUUCUUAACUUUGACCUUGAACACUUCUGCAGCCACCGAGCAGUAAUUCAGUCUCCCAGCUGCUUCACUGGAAGCAAUCUCUCCCGAGAGCAGGCUGCUAAAGGCGGUUUUGUAGCUGACCCAGUACUAGAACAACAAAUUCCAUUUCAGUCUGAGUUACAGUUUGGGCUUGGUCCAGGACUGCAGAUGGCAUCAGAUGCUGUUUUCUUCCCUGCAAAAUCAUACAUCAGCAGCAUUGCUAACUUGGGGAAGGUGGCAUUUUCAAAAACGUUCAUCUUCCUUUCCUUCCUCCUAUACAUUUCAUAGAGAAGGGGGGGGGGGGGGGGGGGAAGUGAAAGCCACACAUCCAAAUGUUCCCCAUAAUCUGAAAAAAGUAAAAAGGGAAAGAGGAUACCUGAAUUGAGGUUAAUCCUAUUUACAGCACUCAAUUAGGUAGCCUUUUCAGGUCUCAAAAGCUUCUUUCAACAUAAUAUCAAUAUUUGUGAAUGAAAUCUUAUCAUUUCUGCAGUUAGCAGUAAGGUUUCAUUAACUUAAACCAUGAUAGGAUUCCCAUUAUUCCUCCAGAACAGCUCACAACAUCUCACAGUAGUGUGCCUGGGAGGCUCUACUUGUCUCAAGAUGACAUAGUAAUUUUUUAUACAAAACAACUGAAGUAUUUGUAGUGAAUAAAUUACUCAGCUUCUCUUCUUUGUUUUACAAAGUCUUAUUGCUUCCUCAAAAUGUGUUCUACAGACUGACUUAUCCAGGCAUUGUUAUUCAUAACGGCCUACAGACUGAGAAGUUCAAUACCAGUAUUUGCUAUCCACAAUUCAGGCCACAUCAGCAGCUUUCGAUGGGAUUUACUGAUUGCAUAAUGAUUCUUCUUUCCUGCGACUGAAAACAAAGGAAGGCUACGUAAUACUUUGUGCUCAGUCCAAGUGUCAUUAACCUAGCUAAACUAAAUUUCUAAUUCUAAAAACAUAACGGGGAAUCCGGCAGAGGGACUGGACUACAUGAUCUUUUGAGGUCCCUUCCAAUCCCUAACAUUCUGUGAUUCUGUGAUCUUCUUGGGACUACACUUGAGCUGACUUAAAACAGAGCUAUAUUGAUUUGGCUCUAUCUGGUUAGUUACUAUGAAUAUAGGUAAGGGCUGAGAGAUAGUAACAAUCAUUUGUGCCUGACUGUGAUCCAGUAAUAUCAAAGACUUCCACGCACCAACCUUGAUUUCCACUGCACUGAAAGAGGAUUGCAAUUCUAUGCGGUUACAGCCACAUACACAUACAUUCAGAGGUUGCUCUGAAGGUAAUGCUUCCUAUUUAUUUCCAUGGAAACUACAACAGAGAAUGAUAACACAAUUUGUGUUAUGAUAGAGCAAAAUUCAGCUACAAAACACUAUUUUUCAACACAGCUAUCACCAUCAGCUGAUUCACGUAGGUGAGCUGGUUGAGACUCUCUUCACUUUGAGGUGUGACAGCUGUGCAUGGACAUCCAGAAUGUGGCUUAUAUCUGUUGCACCCACCCACCGCCUCCCUGUGCUCACAUCCAUUGAUUGCCUCCAUAAAUGUUCAGCAAGCAUCAAUGAAUGUCAGCGGGUGCCAUUUUUUCCGCAUGGAGGAAUUUAAUUCCACACCUUUGCUUCAUAUGGACUCCCAUGUCGGAUGCCACUUUGUCAGACUGCCCCUCUGCUGCCAUCCGUCACAUGGCAACAUCACGUAACAGAUGUUGGUGGGAAGGUUCAGCCUCCACUGCCAUACCAACAACAUCCACCUCGGAUGCUGUGGGCCAACAAAACAAAACAGAAUCACAGAAUCAAAAUCAGGAGGCAUUACUUUUGGAGCAGCCCUCACGCUUGGUUAUACGGAUGCUUAUUUUUGUGAACACCCUCCUGCCAUGUCCUCAUCAGCCGAAAUCAAAGGUAGAAGAAUCCUUCUCCCGGGACGGUAUAAAUUCCUUCAGCUAACUUAACUUUCCUGCAAAGGUCACCGUGCAAUACAACGGCCUAUUUACGCCACACGCAGCGCUGUCUGUGAGGCAGAGGCGAAGCCGGACGCCCGGGAAGACGUCUCGAGGUGAGGAGCUGUACAUGUGGCAGCAGCGAAGAGCGGCGAGGUGCCGACCCGCUCCGCCGGGGGAACGCGGACCGAGCGCAGGCGUUUUCCUUUCUUCUCCGGCUUCCGAGUUGACCUGAGGAGCCCUUUUCCUACACCUUCCCCACCAUCGGAUGACAGCUGCUGCCCCCAGAGCUCCAUCCCGUCCUUCCGGACGGCACUGAGGCGCUGGCGCAGCGCCCGGGGGUGCAGCGGGCUGAGGGCCCC
ensembl:lncRNA